UUUUUUUUUUUUUAUCAGUCAGAUAGAUUAGAUGAGAUGAAUCAUGACUACAUAAUAUCUCCAUGAAGCUGCAGGUUGAAAGGUACGACUUACUACUUUCCCCAACUUGCAGCAUGUAGUACACUAGUACUAAAACACACAUAUCUCUUACAUAUUGGUGUGUGUGUUAUUCUUUAACCGACAACUGUUAGCUUGUUGAGAACAUACUUUGACGUUUCUUAUUUUCUUGUGAAAGUUGUAAUUCCAUGUAGGAAAGAGCAAAGAGCAAGGCGCUGUCAAAAGACUUGUCUCAUCUUGCGGCUGUGCCAGGUUUGUAGUUCAUGUCUCUGCUUUGUGUUUUUGUGACCUGUAGUUUCAUGAAUUAACACUGCAGGAUGUACAAGGAUGGUAGCAUCGUUCCAUUAGAUGGUUCUUUUGGUUAUGCUGCAAACUUUCACACAUGCUGGGAUAUGGUUUCAAGUGAUGUUCAUAUGGUAGCAUCAUUCCAUUAGUUUCAAGUGAUGUUCAUAUGAGGUUUUGAUUUUUGUGUUUCUUCUUAGUAUUUAUUUAACUCAACUGUUAUACAUUGCAGGGUUCUUCUCUUCUUCUUAGACGAUCUCUCAAUCAAGAAUCCAAUCCUUANUUUUUUUUUUUUUUUUUUUUUUUUAACUAAGUUUUAAGGUCUUAGAGAUCAUCUAGUUUGUGCAAUGAUUCAUUCAUCUGGGUAUGUGAACACUGGACUUAAUGAAAAUAGAUCAAAAGCUGUCUACGGAAAGUCAAACCAUUCCGUUUAGAUACACUACAAAGUCUGUAGGGUUUCUCCAGAACUUCAAGUCGUUGUUAGUGAACCUGCUGUUCUCAGAACUGAGAUUGUGAGGCAAUUGUGAGCUUAUAUCAGGAAGAACAACCUCCAAGACCCGAGUAACAAGCGGAAGAUCAUCUAUGAUGAUGCAUUGCGUGUGGUUUUUGAGACUGACUGCACUGACAUGUUCAAAAUGAAUAAAGCGCAGAGAGUUCUCAAGGAACGAUUUCAGGAGAUUGCAGACAAAAAAGGAAUCAAGCUUAGUGUACAUAAAGUGAAGGCUUUGCUUUUUACAUUCUAUCAAGAUCCUCUGUAUUAAAAUCAGUUUUUUUCUUGAAGAUCUUUCCUGCUGGUCAAAACCAGUGAUCUGUA